GCUUGAUGAUAGAAACAUUAAUAGAAACAAUAAAAGUAUAACACUAUUUCUGAAUAUCUCACUAAGCAAUUAGGUUCAAAGCAUGUUAAACAUAAUACAAAGGCAAAAAUACAUGUAAUGUAUCUUUUACAUUAGCGAUAAUU